CACAUGUAGUGCAUGAAGCAUUCCCCAAAGGAGCCUCAAGAUGGAGCAGCAUGUUAGCAAGUGGUGUGACCUAAGGCUAGCUGCUGUCCCUCUCUGGACUUUCCUUUUCCUAUCUGUAAAAGGAGAGAAGAGGCCAGACAGCAGCCCCUGGUGAUUUCUGGACCCUCUGCUGGGGGAUUCAAGGCUUCUCAGAUGCCCUUCUGGAUGGUCCUCGGACCCCCUGAUCUCCUGAUAGCACCCCUGUGAUCCUCUGAAGCACUAAGCCUCAUCUGAGAAGCAGGUUAUCUAUUUCCCGUCAAGAUGGCCCAGAAGCUCUCGCAAGCUCUUCCCCAGCGCUGCCCACCCAACCUCCUCCUGCUGCUCGGAGCGCCCCUGGGCCAGCUCCACAGGGAAGACAGUGGUCAGCUCCCACCCGGCCCCGGAGUCCAGCCCCAGCUGCCAGUGGGGCUGGAGGAAGCCCAGGGGCCUGGCGAGGAGGAGAGGGCUAGUGGGGCUGGCCAGCGCCUGGCGGGAGGAGAAUUAAGCAGAAGUGCAAAUUACCCAAACCCGUGAUUAACAUUUCUUCCAAAUCUGCAUGAAUAUUAAAGCGCAACCCACCCU